UCGUAACAAGGUCUUCGUAGGUGAACCUGCGGAGGGAUCAUUACCGAGUUAGGGUCCUCAUAGGCCCGACCUCCCAACCCAUUGUUUAUGAUACUCAGUGUUGCUUCGGCAGGCCUGGUCUUUGACCUGCCGGAGGGCCGUAACACGCCCCCCGGAGUGCGCCUGCCGACGGCCCCAACUUCAAAAUUCUUAACUAAAACAUGUCUUUGUCUAAGUAAAGUCUUUAAUAAAAGCAAAACUUUCAACAACGGAUCUCUUGGUUCUGGCAUCGAUGAAGAACGCAGCGAAAUGCGAUAAGUAAUGCGAAUUGCAGAAUUCUCGUGAGUCAUCGAAUCUUUGAACGCACAUUGCGCCCUUUGGUAUUCCGAAGGGCAUGCCUGUUCGAGCGUCAUUUUCACCCCUCAAGCCCCCGGCUUGGUGUUGGACGGUUUGGUCCCGGGACCCCCCUGGACCCCUCCCAAAGACAAUGACGGCGGGCUGUCGCACCCCCGGUACACUGAGCAUCUUCACGGAGCACGUAUCGGUAUUCAGGGUCGACGGCACCCGGUCUCACACCUAUAUCUUUCAAGGUUGACCUCGGAUCAGGUAGGAAUACCCGCUGAACUUAAGCAUAUCAAUAA
rnacentral:misc_RNA from 1 species